rnacentral:rRNA from 1 species
CCCUUAGAUGUUCUGGGCUGCACGCGCGCUACACUGAUGCACUCAACGAGUUUACGACCUUGUCCGAGAGGAUUGGGUAAUCUUUUUAAAAUGCAUCGUGAUGGGGAUAGAUUAUUGCAAUUAUUAAUCUUCAACGAGGAAUUCCUAGUAAGCGCGAGUCAUCAGCUCGUGCUGAUUACGUCCCUGCCCUUUGUACACACCGCCCGUCGCUCCUACCGAUUGAUUGAUCCGGUGAAUUACAUAGAAUUUUGCGUUUUACAUGACGGAAGAUGAAGUGUUUUAAACCUUAUCAUUUAGAGGAAGGAGAAGUCGUAACA